rnacentral:rRNA from 1 species
UGUGUAGGCGGUUGCUUAAGUUUGGUGUGAAAUCUCCCGGCUCAACUGGGAGGGUGCGCCGAAUACUGAGUGACUCGAGUGCGGGAGAGGAAAGUGGAAUUCCUGGUGUAGCGGUGAAAUGCGUAGAUAUCAGGAGGAACACCGGUGGUGUAGACGGCUUUCUGGACCGUAACUGACGCCGAGACACGAAAGCGUGGGUAGCAAACAGGAUUAGAUACCCUGGUAGUCCACGCCCUAAACGAUGCACAUUUGGUGUGGGUCAUUCAGUUGAUCCGUGCCGGAGCUAACGCGUUAAAUGUGCCGCCUGGGGAGUACAGUCGCAAGGCUGAA